GGAUUAACAAUCAUACUAUGGUCAAGCACAACUCUAAACUUCCAUAAGCAUCAUUACAUUACAUUUCUAUACUAUACUUUUACAUUACAUCAUAUUCAUGUCCACACUAGCUAUUACAAUAACAUAACUCUACUCCUGCUGACCUCCUGGUCUACCCUGUACCUGCAAACCUGGGGGUUAAGGGAGAGGGGUGAGCUAUAAAGCCCAGUGAGCAGAAUAGUAAAACAUUCAAUUUAUAUUUCAUGCUUUCAUGAAAUACAACACAGCACAAACAAUUCACAUCAAGGAUAGACUUGUCACCAAUAGUCCUCUACAUAGUCCAAUCGUGCCAGGGGCGUAGAAUGGGCCUCACUAGUCUUUCUCUUAACAUAACAUAACAUAACAUAACAUUCCAUAGUGCCUAGGGCGUAGAAUGGGCCUCACUGGUCUUUCUCUUAACAUAGUGUCAGGGGCGUAGAAUGGGCCUCACUGGUCUUCCAUACUGUAUCAUCAUCAUAUCAUAUCAUUUGAGGACUAAAGAAUCAUUCAACAUCCAUCCACAUCAUCAUUAAGUUAUGCAAUGCAACAUAUUCGUGAGUUCUAAUGCAAACAACCUAGUAUAUCUCAUGGCAUACGUGAUGCAUGUAUCAUGCUAAAAAUUCAUUUACUUUAAACAUAAAGUUUAUUCCACUCACCUCUGGCUGAAGCUCUAAUGACUCUGAAGCAGCUA
rnacentral:lncRNA from 1 species